UAUGGACACAGAAUUGUAUACAAAUUUUGUUCCUGUCUUCACUUUGGCUCCUAGGAAGCUUAGAUUCUAACGUGCUCUCACCUAAACAAAAGGGAGAAAAAGAAACAGAUAGAGAGAGAGAGGAAAGAACAGUGAAGGAGAGGAUAUAUUUUAAAAUAAGAAUGUAUCAUUCAAAAUUUUUGGCUGCAAACAACAGAAAGCAAUUCUAAGAGGCUUAAAAGCGAAUUCACAGAAAGACUAAUAGCUGAGCUCACAAAAUCAUUGGGAAGAUGGAGAGUGGGGCUCAAAAAGUAGGCUGCAUUCCAGAACUCUUGGGUGCUGGGCGCUGCCAGGUGCUCUGCACCGGGAGAAGUAGCACAGCACUCACUUGUUUAUGGCUUCCAGCUCUGUUAAAUGAAAGCCCUGAAGUGACUAGAACCCUGCUCCUCAGACUGCAGUCCACUGGCAAUCUGUUUUGUCUAAGCAUAUCCACCGCCCACCCCCGACACACACGCAUGGAUGUCAAGUGGCUCAUAAAACAGUCUUCGACUCUGCAAAAGGCUGUCUUUUAGAAGAAUUCAGUCUCAAAGAAAGCGUGUCAUCACAGUGAGACAUUCUGUAUAGAACCAGAACCAGAGCUGUGUCAGUCCUGUUCACAGGAGGGAGUUUCCUGACCAGACAACUGGAAGACACAUCCCCUUUUGUACACAAGGACCCAGUUUUCUCCUCGUAUGGUGGGGAUGAUGGCAUUAAGUCAGCACAGUUCUGCUGUGUUCCCAAGUAACCUUCAAGUUAAAACUCGGUCUCCCAUGUAACUUUUC
ensembl:lncRNA